rnacentral:rRNA from 1 species
AACGAACGCUGGCGGCAUGCCUAACACAUGCAAGUCGAACGGGAUCCUAGCUUGCUAGGUGAGAGUGGCGGACGGGUGAGUAACACGUGGGAAUCUGCCUUUUGGUUCGGGAUAACCGCGGGAAACUGCGGCUAAUACCGAAUGCCCUCGAGAGAGGAAAGAUUUAUCGCCAGAAGAGGAGCCCGCGUCCGAUUAGGUAGUUGGUGGGGUAAAGGCCUACCAAGCCGACGAUCGGUAGCUGGUCUGAGAGGAUGAUCAGCCACACUGGGACUGAGAUACGGCCCAGACUCCUACGGGAGGCAGCAGUGGGGAAUAUUGGUCAAUGGAGGCAACUCUGAACCAGCCAUGCCGCGUGCAGGAUGACGGCCCUAUGGGUUGUAAACUGCUUUUAUACAAGAGAAAACCCUGGUACGUGUACCAGGUUGAUAGUAUUGUAAGAAUAAGCAUCGGCUAACUUCGUGCCAGCAGCCGCGGUAA